GAACCCGCUGUUAGCACAUGCUGGGCAUAGGAUGGUUCCUCAUGUCCCUCACAAAAGCUGGUGGCUUUGGGAGCCCCUCACGAGGGACAGACAGGGCAGGGUGGCACUCUGGACAUGGUACAAGAUGGUCGAACAUUUCCCCAUACACCAGACUCUUUUAACUUGUUUAAAAGAAAGCCUCUUGCCCAGAGAGUCUCUCCACACUUCCUUCCCCCAAAUCAAAUUUGGGCUCCUUAUCCAAUAUUGCUCGUGGGGCAAACAGCCCCAGCGAGGAUCCGGGGGGUGCUUGGUGCAGACCCCCCCGGGCACCGCGCUGCUCCUGCACCGCUCUGUGCUGCUGCCGGGGACUGCUGGCAGCAGCAGGAAGAGUUCACAACCACUGUGCCGUGACAUCGCCUUUAACUGGAGCGUUUAUCGGUUAUUUAUUACCUAUCGAAGCUGAUACCUGCAGGGAACCUGCCCCACCCGCCCGGCUCCAGGCCAGCCCCGCACAAAGUCACGGCAGUGACCUGACCCGGGCAGCACCGGCUGUCACCGCGGGCGGGAUCGGGUUCGGCACCGCCUGGGGAGGCCGCGGGAGCAAAGGUGGGUGGGAUUUCAUUGAGACACAGAUACUCAGAGCAGGAUAAGCACGUACAGGAGGUUUUCUGCAGACUGUGGAGAAAAACAAGGGCAAGAAGACUUUGCUUUGACAUCUGUUUGCCCUGCAGUCUCGGGCUCCAAAACCCAUGGCAUUCCUCUCCUCCUCUGAAGGAACAAGGGCGGUUUAUUCCCUCCUUUUCAGAAGUUAUGGGCCAAGUGAAGAGUUGCAAUGCCAGUGGAUUCGAGCCUCAGAUCCUCGGUGGAAUGACUGGGUCCUGGAGCCUUUCAGGAACUGACAGAAACGAAGGCAGCUCCUUGUCUGGAGCAGCAAGGAUCCAUUGACACGAUCAACCUGACUUCUUCCUCAGGUCUCCACUACACUGCAACACUGACAUCUCUGUGGACCCGAUCUGAGCUCCACAACUCACCUUAGCCCCAGCUUAGCUUUAAGUUCAAAGCAGUUUCAGCCAACGACUGAAAAAAGCCGCAGCAGCCCCACGCAGCCGAGCCCUCCCCGAAUGCUGCCCUGGUGUUUACACGGAGCUCUCGGUGCCCCCAGCACGGAGAGCAGCUGAGCAGUGCAGCAAGAAUUUGUGUUUGUGAACAGCCCCCACAAGGCAGGGGGAGACACGGCACUGGAGAUAAGCACACUUGGAACAGGCUGAUGUUUACUGGCUCAGCUGUCACCCAUCCACUCAGAACUGGCUGCUAAUCCAAACCACAGCUCGGGGAGGGCUGGAUUUCUCUCAAACAGCUGAAGAAGCAGAAUUUCUGUGUUGGACAGAGGGAAGCAGUGCCUGGCCCUUGGUCUGGAGAACAGAUCCAUAAGGCACACGCCAGGAGAGGGGUGAGCAGAUGCAGGGGGUGUCCGAACCCUCAGCUCCAAGGGUGAGCUGGGAGACCCCAGGUGAUACCUCCAGAGCCACCAGGCUUUCAAGGACUGAGUUUUAUCAGCUCCCUGCUCCGAGGAAAACCUGUCCUUCUGCUGCUGACAGAAACCCAUCCUACCUGGGAUGGGGAAAGAAAGAGAGCAGUGUCCAUGCCAGGGAGGUUUCCUGGGCAUGCAGGUCCCUGGUCUUACAGGGAUGAAGCUCCUGAUGAAAAGGUCGCUCUCUCGGGCUGACGUAAGUCAGAUGUGUGAGCAGAGAAUUGCAGUGUUUGGAGCCAAGUGCUCUCCUUCUUCCCCAGAGCAAAACCAGUCCUUAUUCCCUCAUAUGGAAUUGGAGGGCCAUUUGUAAAUGUUCCAGAUGGAAACACAGCUCCAGACUCAUCACCUCCCAAGAUAAAAUAUUCAGCACGUCACGAGCAGAGCUGAAAUAGUUUGUGGGUUUCUGGGGCUGACAUUUGCCUCUUUAAAAUGUUUUAUUUCUGCCCUCCACACCACACACGGGGGGAGCAGGUGCAGCUGCCCUCUCACAGAGCUCUGGGGCUGCAAAGGAGUCUCCCAAAUGUGCUGCUCUGAGAGAGCUCCCAAGAUCUCCCUCCUGCAGCAACCAGGCAAUGUCUGCUGCAGGAGGGAGGCACAGCUGCUCCCUGGGGUGCCCAGGGCAGUGAGGAGCUCAUCCAGGCUGUGUCAGAGCAGGGCUUGGGCUCCUGAUGAGGCAGCCACAGGAGCCUCACGGGAGCCCACAGCCUGUCCCUGCAGCUGCCCUGCUCCGAGGUGAGCGGGAUUACAGAGCUGAUCUGCCGGGCACGUGGAGCAGCCAGGGCACCUCUGCACUGACCGCUCCUGCUGCCCAGAGGUGACACAAACCCCUCCUGAGCACAGGCCGGGCGAGUUUCCUUAACAGCACACAGGAAAGUGUCCUGGAAAACAAGUGCACUCAGUUACGCAACUGCCAGCCUGGCUGAACUUGGGAGAUAUUUAUCUUAGGACAUCUUGCGCUUUAAAUCCUUUUAAUUCCACAUAAUCCACUGCACAGGGAGCAAUUUCCAGAGCAGGCCAGUGUGCUCUGCUGUGAAACCAGGACGAGGAGCAUCCUGGCAGGGCCGAGGACGGUGCCCAGUCUUGCUCUGUGGUCACACCACCAGCUCAAGGCAUCCCAGGUUAUCAACAACUCUGCUGCUGUUCCUGCAUCCUCACGUUUUGAGGUGCCCCAAAACACCUCACGAGUACCACAGGUACCCAGGGAUGCUCUUUCACCCAACUCUGAUGAGCCAUGAAACACUCAAGGAAGGAGCAAGGAAAGAAAGCCUGGGUGAACCCAGAGCUUCUGCUAGUUUGACACUAGAACAAAGCAUGUUUAAAUUAUUGCCAUUAAGUGGAAUUUAUGGAUCUUGCCUAUUGCAGCUCAGAGAAAGGAAACAAUUCUACAAAAAUAGAGACCUCCAACGGAACUCUGGUAGCCCAAACAGAGGAGUCUCUGCACAGGGCACGUCAGAGAUGACAGCCAGUCAGCUUCUCCCUUGUCCUUGAUCAUGGUUUGCACAGCCCAAGCUGCCAUGCUUCAGAAAAGAGUUAUUCAUGAGUAGCUCCUGAUCAAUAAAGGGUGAUACAUAUAUAAAGGCAAAAAUAAUUAGCUUGAAGUGGUGGAGUUUGGCACAAUCCCAUGUCAGUUGCAUUGUUGUAGGUUUGUGUAAUGAAAGAAGGAUCUGAAGCAAAGCGGAGCCCUGAUGCCAGAUCCAUCGCUGUGGGGAUGAAGUCAUGGAAUCAAAGAAACACAGGAUGGUUUGGGAUGGAAAGGACCUUAAAGCCCAUCUCAUUCCCUCUGCCAUGGGCAGGGACACCUUCCAGUAUCCCAGGCUGCUCCAAGUCCUCUCCAGCCUGGCCUUGGGCACUGCCAGGGACCAGGGGCAACCACAGCUGCUCUGGGCACCCUGUGCCAGGGCCUGCCCACCCUGCCAGGGAAGGAUUCCUGUGUCACUCAACUCCAUUCUCCAGUGUUUGUACUCUGCCCCAGCCACGUGUUUCUGCUACAUAAGCAAUAUUGGAAUAAUAGAAGCAGAAGAGAGAAUGGCAAGGGUGAAAACAAAAGCAGGAGAAAUGAUUAUAAAGCUCAGCCUCAGGACAGAGGGACUUGGCUCCUGGCAGGGAGCAGUUCGAGCUCCCAGUGCCACCCACUCCCACGCAUUUCCCUGGCACAGCUGAGCUCCGGUGGGCCGGGACAAGGGGCACCACGGGGCCAAUGCUCCCGGUGGAAAAACCCCAAAUCCCUCAACAAUAGGACUGAUGCCUCCACCGGCGCGGUGACAGCACCUCUGCUCCAUGACUCAGAAAGCAAAGGUCGGAGGAAGCCGGUUUCUAACCUGGAUGGCAGCGAUCCCAGGGCAAUUUACGUAACUGGUGUUCCAGAAAUGUCUCCUUGCUUUCUCAGUGGUGCCACCUCUCCCAGGAGUGGUGAGAACUUCCCCCUUGGGCCCCUGCCCCUGGCGAUUUUAGCCCCAAAGUGCAAAACUCCUCCCAAGCCCAGUUCCCUCUCCGCUGCUGGGUCUCAGGGAACUCUCUAACGUCUGACCCAGGUGUAGAGGUGAAGAACACCUGGAUUAUUUUCCUCGCUGUAAUUAAGAGCGUGUACUUAUCAUUUUAAACCAAAGAGAGGUGAAUUGCUAAGUCCUACUUGAGCUCCUGAGACGCAAAAAUCCUGAUCUGCUGAAAUCCCACCUGCACGUGGUGCCUGACUGACCCCGAGCCGUGGCCAAGAUUUCUUCCUGUUCCUCCACGCCGGGUGCGAUUGCAGCUGCUUUGAAUGGCAGCGUUUCCCCAGGCAGGUCCAGGCAGUGGCUGGAAUGCAGGAAUUGCAGCAGCAGCAGGAUGCAGAGCAGGGGAAGCUCAGCCCGGGCAGUUCCUGCUCCCUGGGCAGGGGCUGUGCAGACUGAGGCUCAUCCACGGAGCAAACACCUCCAGCCUCUGCCGACAUUCCCGCACAGAAUAAACUGUAUUUUGCCUGCUGGCUCCCAGACUCUCAGUGUGCCAGGCCCACCCUGCUCCUGCGCUGUAUUUCUGCAUUCCCACACCGUCCCUGCACCCGGAGCUCCCGAAGCCCCUCGUGGAGCACACGCAGCUCAAGCCAGGGAUUUCUGCUGCAGAACUGAUCGGGCUGUUGGCUCCAGGAAAUGUGCUCAGUUUGUGGAUUUUGCACCUUCCUCCCAGGAAAACUGAAGUGCGGCCGAGGGAGCGGUGUGAGCCGGGAUGUGCCCGGGAAGGCGCUGGGGAAGGAAGGAGCUGCGAGGCAGCGAGGCCAUAUCUGCCGGUUGUCAUGGAUACAAUCGCUGCCCGUCUCCUGUAUCAGUUACCUUCCCUUUCCUGGCUGCAAAUAAACCAGUGCCGGCCUGGCUCCUGCGCAGGACACAGCCCUGACACCCCAACAGAAGGAGAAAAACAUUUGUUUCAAGCCCACACAUCUCACAGCAUCUGAGGGGAGAGUGGGAGGUGACUCGGGUUUUUGGUAUUCAAACUAUGCAGGGCCGAUAAUGCUUUGCCCAAUUCCACGUGGUUCUGUCCUAACCUUUGGCCAUUUCCUGGGACCCCAGGGGAGCUGUUCCAUGGCCUGUCCAUCCUUCUGGAUUCCCGAGGAACUGCUGAGGAUUGGGGAUGUGUUCCCUGUGCUCAGCACACCCCAGCAGGGCUCUGCAGGCUCCAAGGACCAGCGCUGCCUCCAAACAUCGAGAGGCCACGGCUCAAACUACACCCGGAAUCGUGGAAUUUUGGGGUUGGAAAGGACCCUAAAGCCCAUCCAAUUCCAGGGCAGGGACACCUUCCCCUGUCCCAGGCUGCUCCAAGCCCCAGUGUCCAGCCUGGCCUUGGGCACUGCCAGGGAUCCAGGGGCAGCCACAGCUGCUCUGGGCACCCUGUGCCAGGGCCUGCCCACCCUCACAGGGAGUAAUUUCUUUUGUAAAAGAUUCCUUUUUCUACAUCAACAAAGCUUUUUCAAAGUCCAUGUAAAAUACAAGCAUUUCCUUACCUUUUCUUUUUCAAUUUAAUUUUUAGAACAGGUUUGCAGCCCAGGUGGGAAGUUAUUUAGAGCAAGUUAUCCAUCAAAUUUUGUCUUUAAUG